rnacentral:rRNA from 1 species
CCUACGGGUGGCAGCAGUAGGGAAUCUUCCACAAUGGACGAAAGUCUGAUGGAGCAACGCCGCGUGGGUGAAGAAGGGUUUCGGCUCGUAAAGCUCUGUUGGUAGUGAAGAAAGAGAGAGGUAGUAACUGACCUUUAUUUGACGGUAAUGACUUAGAAAGUCACGGCUAACUACGUGCCAGCAGCCGCGGUAAUUCGUAGGUGGCAAGCGUUGGCCGGAUUUAUUGGGCAUAAAGGGAGUGCAGGCGGGUAACUAAGUCUGGAGUGAAAGCCCGCGGCUCAACCGGAGAAUUGCAUCAGAAACUGUUUAACUUGAGUGCAGGAGAGGAGAGUGGAACUCCAAGUGUAGCGGUGGAAUGCGUAGAUAUAUGGAAGAACACCAGUGGCGAAGGCGGCUCUCUGGUCUGCAACUGACGCUGAGGCUCGAAAGCAUGGGUAGCGAACAGGAUUAGAUACCCGAGUAGUC